rnacentral:lncRNA from 1 species
UUGAAACAAGCUGAAGAUACUUAAGUUUAUUUAGUAUGUUUGUUUGUAUUUGGUGUGUUUAUGUAAUUUUAUUUGGUGUGUUUUUUGUAGUGAGUUUUUUAUUAUUUCGUAUGUUUAUGUAAUUUUAUUUGGUGUGAAUUAUUUGGUAUGUUUAUGUAUUUUUAUUUGGUGUGUGUUUUUUGUAGUGAGUUUUUUUAUUAUUUCGUAUGUUUAUGUAAUUUUAUUUGGUGUGAAUUAUUUGGUAUGUUUAUGUAUUUUUAUUUGGUGUGUUUUUUGUAGUGAGUUUUUUAUUAUUUCGUACGUUUAUGUAAUUUUAUUUGGUAUGUUUAUGUAAUUUUAUUUGGUGUGUUUUUUGUAGUGAGUUUUUUAUUAUUUCGUAUGUUUAUGUAAUUUUAUUUGGUGUGAAUUAUUUGGUAUGUUUAUGUAUUUUUAUUUGGUGUGUUUUUUGUAGUGAGUUUUUUAUUAUUUCGUAUGUUUAUGUAAUUUUAUUUGGUAUGUUUAUGUAAUUUUAUUUGGUGUGUUUAUGUAAUUCCAAUUGGUGAGUUUUUUAGUUUUAUUUGGUGUGUUUUAUAAUUUCAUUAUACGUGAACAAUUUGAUGAACAAAGAUUCUAUUAUUAGGAUAAAUAUAUUACAAAAUUAAAUACAUGUACUCUCACUUUAAAUAAAGUACUAACUUCAAUAAAAUGGAAACAACAUAAAUAAUAAAUUACAACCCACAGUGAUUGGAAAACUAUGGGCUCCGAUUACAAAAGUACCCUAUUCCUCACCACUUAACCAAUCUGUGGUGUUAGGAUCAUCUUGUCUUGUUGUGCUAGGACCAUCUUGUCUUGAUCUCGCUUCUCUUGCACGCCUCCUUUGCACCACAUCCGCUUUCUCCGACUACCAAAAAUAUUUAGAAUUUGGAGACAUCCCUUCUAAACGCGUGUUCAUAAUGUCACGAUCUCGUUGUGCAAUUCUUUCUUCUCUAAGAAACUCCAUUUCUUGCCUAAGUAGCUCUUUUUCUCUCUGUUCAGCUUGAAAUGCUUGUUGAAUAGCUGCAGCUUUUACCUCAUCUCUAGCCUUGUCAGCCUCAUAUUUCGCCAAUUCCCGCGCCAACGUCAAUUCACCUUGAUGAGCAAGUUCUUGCAUGUACUUUCCAUAAUCAUUUUUGGAAGCACUCCCUUUCCUCUUUGAAGCCUUCUUACCUAGAGGCCUAAUUGGAUAACGGGUCGACCCCGACGCUUGUUCAGGAAUGGGCGUUUCAGGCACUUCUUCUCCAUCUUCUUCAUCAACAUGGGAGCCAUGAUUGUGUGUAGAGUGUGGAAGGGUGUUGUGUACAAAGGUGUUGUGUAGAGGGAUGUUGUUCAUGCAUACUUCUGGACCAACAAGUACAACUUUGAAUUUAGGACAAUCUUUAACAAUAUUCCAACAUUCCCACCGGGUGAAUGAUUUGUUUCUUGAUUUGAUUUUGGCACCAUACCAUGCUUGUGCUUGAAGUUGCUACAAAU